rnacentral:rRNA from 1 species
UUCUCUUCCUCUUUAGUUCCUCGCCUCCCUUACUCUUUUCCGUCCUCUCUUCCCCUUCCCUUGUUUUUUUUUUCGUUUUCCGGGGAAAAUUUUUUGGACUGACGCAGUGGUCAGGUUUUGGACGUUGGGUUGGAAAGUUUCAUGAACCUUAUCACUUAGAGGAAGGAGAAGUCGUAACAAGGUUUCCGUAGGUGAACCUGCGGAAGGAUCAUUC